GAGCAACUCAUCCAAAACUCUGCAGAAAUGGCUCCAACGCUGUACUUCAAGCCCUGCAUUUCUCAUCCUUCAAUUAAUUGGAACCCAUCAAAAGUGUUUGUCAAUCCUCUCAAUGUAAACGCUAAAAUCAGUGGGAGAUUAGAGGUAGUAGCUAUGGGUAUGUUGUCUCCUAGAAAAUUUUUGCAGAAGAGAAGGAGAAUGGAAGUAUUCAAAAACGCCGCCGAUGAAGCAGACCAGAAGAAUUGGAGGGGACUUAUGAAGCAAAUUGAGGACACGGGUUCUGCUGUUUCAGUUCUCAAAAGCAAGAGGACCCAGAAUCAUGCUCUUCCUAAAGACCUCGUUUUGGGUACUUUGGUUAGAUUUAAGCAGCUAAAGAAAUGGAAUCUUGUUGCUGAGAUUUUGGAAUGGCUUCGGACUCAGCAUUGGUGGGACUUCAAUGAAAUGGAUUCUCUGAUGCUUAUAACAGCUCAUGGAAAGCUAGGGAACUUCAACGAGGCUGAGAAGGUCUUGAGCUAUAUGAAUAAGAUGGGUUAUGUGCCGAAUGUUGUGUCCCAUACUGCCCUUAUGGAGGCCUAUGGAAGAGGAGCUCGAUAUAAUAAUGCUGAAGCCAUUUUUCGGAGGAUGCAAUUGUCUGGCCCUAAGCCUUCUGCUGUAACGUAUCAAAUAAUACUAAAAAUAUUUGUUGAGGGAAACAAGUUUAAGGAAGCUGAAGAAGUCUUUGAGACUCUUUUAAAUGAGGAAAAAUCGCCUUUGAGACCUGACCAAAAAAUGUUCCACAUGAUGAUAUUCAUGUAUAGAAAAGCUGGGAAUUACGAAAAAGCUCGUAAAAUAUUUUCACUAAUGACUGAGCGAAGAGUCCCACAAUCUACUGUCACAUAUAAUAGUCUGAUGUCAUUUGAGACCAAUUACAAGGAAGUUUCAAAAAUCUAUGACCAGAUUUUGAAGUAAAUCCAUAAUUUUAGAUGCAAAGAUCUGGUCUUCAACCUGAUGUUGUGAGCUAUGCAUUACUCAUCAAUGCUUAUGGAAAAGCUCGGAGGGAAGAAGAAGCUUUAGCUGUUUUUGAGGAGAUGCUGGAUGCAGGUGUCAGGCCGACCCACAAAGCAUAUAACAUUUUGCUUCAUGCCUUUGCAAUCUCGGGAAUGGUGGAGCAAGCUAGAACGGUGUUCAAGAGCAUGAGAAGAGAUAGAUACACACCAGAUCUUUGCUCUUAUACAACAAUGUUAUCAGCCUACAUAAAUGCAUCUGACAUGGUUGGUGCUGAAAAUUUCUUCAAUAGACUGAAACAAGAUGGAUUUGAACCCAAUGUUGUCACUUGUGGGGUAUUGAUCAAAGGGUAUGCGAAGAUAAAUAAUCUUGAGAAGAUGAUGGAAAAGUAUGAAGAAAUGCAGUUAAAUGGUGUCAAAGCAAAUCAAACUAUUUUCACUACAAUAAUGGAUGCAUAUGGUAGGAACAAUGAUUUUGGAAGCGCUGUUAUUUGGUACAAGGAAAUGGAGAACCAUGGGGUUCCUCCUGACCGGAAAGCAAAGAACAUUCUUUUGUCUUUGGCCAAAACAGCUGAUGAACAGGAAGAAGCUAAUCAACUUGUAGGAAAUAUGGAUAAUUGUGGCAUUGUUCAGAGCAUUAAUGUGGCUUCUAGGAUUAAUGAUGAUGAUGAUGAUGAUUGGGAUGACGACGGUGAUGACAUCGGUGAAGUAGAGAAUGCUGGAGAUACAAUUUUUAGUAAUCAAGAACAAGAAGAAUUGAUAGCUUUAAAUAAAGAUAAUCAUAAAAAUGGAGAAGGCCUACAUGCGCUUAAAGUUGUUGAUUUGUAGGUUUGUAGGCUUAUAAAUUUUGGGUUGAAUUUGUUAUUACUUUAGCUGCAAAAAUGAUUUUACUUAGGGUUGUCCGGUAAAUGCAACGGAUAAUUAAUAGUGGUCGCUGAAAGAUAGUAGCUAAUAACUAAUUAGUUACUAAUAGUUGUUGUUUUUGAUGUAUUUUAAACAUUUGAUCAAAUUAUGUUUAAUUGUUAUUGUUAUUAUUAAUAUGUAAAAUGAUGAGUAAUGGUUUAUAUUAA
rnacentral:misc_RNA from 1 species